CGAUACUUGGUGUGAAUUGCAGAAUCCCGUGAACCAUCGAGUCUUUGAACGCAAGUUGCGCCCGAGGCCACUUAGCCGAGGGCACACCUGCCUGGGCGUCACGCCACCCAUUGCCCCCCGCGCGGCAUUCCCAUGCCCCGUCGGGGAGCGAAGACUGGCCGUCCAUGCCAGAGCCCUCGGCGCGAGGUCAGUAGAAAAGGAGGGCACCAUGCGGUGCGACACGGCUUGUGGGGGUUGAAAGGCGAGCAAGCAGUCUCCGAUCGUACGUCGCGCCCGCACUCCACCGAGCGGCGCCACCAGUGGGACCGGACUCCGCCCGCAGCCGCGGGCGCUCGGAUCACUACCCCAGGUCAGGCGUGGCCACCUGCUGAAUUUAAGCAUAUCAAUAAGCGGAGGAA
rnacentral:rRNA from 1 species